rnacentral:rRNA from 1 species
GAUGAACGCUGGCGGCGUGCCUAAUACAUGCAAGUCGAGCGAACAGACGAGGAGCUUGCUCCUCUGACGUUAGCGGCGGACGGGUGAGUAACACGUGGAUGACCUACCUAUAAGACUGGGAUAACUUCGGGAAACCGGAGCUAAUACCGGAUAAUAUAUUGAACCGCAUGGUUCAAUAGUGAAAGACGGUUUUGCUGUCACUUAUAGAUGGAUCCGCGCCGCAUUAGCUAGUUGGUAAGGUAACGGCUUACCAAGGCGACGAUGCGUAGCCGACCUGAGAGGGUGAUCGGCCACACUGGAACUGAGACACGGUCCAGACUCCUACGGGAGGCAGCAGUAGGGAAUCUUCCGCAAAGGGCGAAAGCCUGACGGAGCAACGCCGCGUGAGUGAUGAAGGUCUUCGGAUCGUAAAACUCUGUUAUUAGGGAAGAACAAAUGUGUAAGUAACUAUGCACGUCUUGACGGUACCUAAUCAGAAAGCCACGGCUAACUACGUG